rnacentral:rRNA from 1 species
GACGAACGCUGGCGGCGUGCUUAACACAUGCAAGUCGAACGGAAAGGCCCUGCUUUUGUGGGGUGCUCGAGUGGCGAACGGGUGAGUAACACGUGAGUAACCUGCCCUUGACUUUGGGAUAACUUCAGGAAACUGGGGCUAAUACCGGAUAGGAGCUCCUGCUGCAUUGUGGGGGUUGGAAAGUUUCGGCGGGUGGGGAUGGACUCGCGGCUUAUCAGCUUGUUGGUGGGGUAGUGGCUUACCAAGGCUUUGAAGGGUAGCCGGCCUGGGAGGGUGACCGGCCACAUUGGGACUGAGAUACGGCCCAGACGCCUACGGGAGGCAGCAGUGGGGAAUAUUGCACAAUGGGCGGAAGCCUGAUGCAGCAACGCCGCGUGCGGGAUGACGGCCUUCGGGUUGUAAACCGCUUUCGCCUGUGACGAAGCGUGAGUGACGGUAAUGGGUAAAGAAGCACCGGCUAACUACGUG